CGCAUUGCAAACAAUUGCAAAAUUGCAAAAUCUUAGUGGCCUGCAGCAAAAAGCAUUUAUUUCUCUCAUCUAGGCAGGGCUUGGCUGGACAGCCGUGCUGACCUUGGCUUGGACUAGCUCACACACCUGCUCCGUGGGUCUCCCAUCAUUCUAGUGGACCCAGUGGGCAGCCCGGAUAUGUUCUUCUCAUGUCAAUGGCAGAGGCAGGAGAGCAAGGAAGCCCAGCCAAUUCAACUAGAGAGAAAUUGAGAAGAAGCAUCCACUGAAGUAUCACAUGGCUUCUUAGAAUUUAUUACACAUUGUUAUUGGGUCACAGUAUGUGAAAACAUGGAGACCGAGAAUACAGAACUGUGUAGAAGUGAAUGAGUCUGCCACCUCUCCUUGUACCUAUCCACUGUGAAACAAGGGCGUUCAUGCACACGUUACUGUAAAUGCCCUGGAGGCCUUAUGAAUAAUCAUUGGAGCAGUAUCUGCUGCAAGAUAACAUUGUGCUUUAUUUUUGCCUUUAAGUAAAAGGAAUCUGAAAUGAAACAAUCUUCAUUUCAGAUAUAAAUCAGCCCCAUAAACUUGAAGCUAACCAGAGAUCCUGAGGCAUUCUCAUUACAUGAAGUAAUUGGUUGGUUGCAAGACUCAAUUGUACUGCAAAGUCUUCCUGAGAAUUCAGAUGAGCAGUUAUCUGAAGAGUUACACAUCCUCUCACCCGACAUGUUGUAGGAACACAUAGCAUUGGCCAGUGGGGCGAAUGAUUUCUAGUCUCUGAUGAGGCCGGAACUCUCCAGCAAGUGGGCCUAUGACUGAGAAACCCCGGGCAACUUUGAGGUCCCUUUGAGGAAAUGAAACUUCAUCAAAAGCAGCCAAUAUUAAUGAUAUAUUGAGCAUCUAUUGUGUACAUCCAGUCUUCUAGUCUCCUUGGUGACAUUCAUCUUAUUUAACCUUCCCAGUAAAUCAGCAAAAUAAGUACCAUUACCCUCUUUUAUGGAAUAAAACUAAAACUCACAGAGGUUGAGUAACUUUUGAAUCACUCAACCUUCUCAACGCAUGAAGAAAAAAUCCGACCCAAACAAGAGACAUUGGAGAGCAGGUGCAAGAAACCUGAAUCUUAAUCCUGAAAUGGAGAAAGCCAAGAACGUCCUGAUCUAAACUACAGAGCCCUCAGAAGACUCAGAACAACACACAAGUUCUUGGGAAGCUACUGGAGGAUGUGUGUCAUCAAAACAAGGGAAUCAGCAGUCCUGUAUCUAUGAAGAAACAACUGGAAAUGAUAGGUUCUUGAAUUCCAAUUUUCUUUUAGGGCUCACAUUCUCCUCUGUUAAGUGCAUUCCCAAUCAGCUUCUUUCCUCAGGUUGGAAAGUGGCUGCCAGCAGCUACCAAGGUGCUAUCCUUCCAGAUUCACAUCCUGCAGAAAGAGCAUGAGAUUCCUGGCAGAAGAUUUGAGAUGCACUCAAAGUAUACUGGCUGAAGUCGGGCCUUAAGUCUGGAUGGGAUGCCCCUUUACCUGCUCCCAUUGGGUCCCGUACUUCCACCUUCAUAACACUAACAAUGCUAGAGUGUGGCAGCUCUCAAAGUGUCAUCCUCCAGCAGCAUCAGUAUCACCUACCUGGACAUUUCACAGAAAUGCAGAUUCUCUGGCUCCACCCACAUCCUCUGAAUCAGAAACUGUUGUGUGUGUGUGUGUGGGGGGGGGGGGUUCCGCAAGAUAUCUGUGCUUUAACAAGCCCUCUAGAAGAUUCUGAUGCACUCCCAGCUUGAGAACUCUACUUGCUCUAAUGCGAUUGCCUGUUUACUGUUGGGAUCCCACACCAGAUGUAAGCACCAGGAGGCAGGGCCGCAUCUGUUCCAUUCAACACUGUAUCUGCCAAGCCCACAGUAGGUGCUCUCCUAAUUCUAUGUGGUAGACUUCAAAAGACAAAGAAAGUGUUAUUCUCACUGGCUCUGGCCUGGACCAAGAGAAUGCAGAAAUGGCUUCCAUUCUGUGAGCUGUGACUUCUAACGUGGCCACAUAGCUGGUGGAGAGGUGACAACCUUCAUCUCCAAGGAUCCCCUGCACUGCUUGCUUUAUGCCCAGAGCAACCUCAUGCUGACAAGGACUGCACAGUUUUGAACACCCAUGCUCCAAUCAAAAGAAACCAAUUUGUGAGAGACGAUAUAAAUCCAUGAAUACUGCACUGAAACCUCUUUCUGCUCCAGGCAGAGAAGAUAAAUUACCACCCGAGUGAUAUAAAGUUAGUUUGAAUAUUUCAUUGGAUCAAAUGCAACAUGUCUCAGAACCUCUCCUCUUUUAAGUCAGAAUUAAAGAAUUGUUAUCAGGCAUAAUAAUAGACACUAUCAUUUGCAUACAUUUUAUCUCAAGAGACUUUUGAAGUUAUGCAAUACGCCAGUGGUUAAUUGUUCUUCACACUCCUGACAUAUCAAAUUACAGCUCAGAUGAGAGAGCAACCCAUUUGUGACUGGAAUGAUUGGCAGGAGCCUACAAGGAGAGCAUCUUCGAGGACUGAAGGAGGAGUAUCUUUUCAGGCUUUUCCAUGGAGACCUUGGAGACCAUGGGUUCUAGAUGGUUCUGUUAUAACAUGAUGGAGACUUCAUUAGUCUGGGUUCCUAGACGAGUGUGAAACACUUUCCCCACUGAUUGAAUUACAAUUAUAAUGUGAAAGAAAAAUAAAUCUUUAUUGUGUAAAACUACUGAAAUAUCAGAGUUACAAUACUGUAGUGUAGCAAAUUCUGGCAAAUACUUCCCAGCAUAUUUUCAAUUCCAUUUCAUUGGCCAAGCCUAGAUGAUAUGGUCACCUAUAGCUGAAGGAAGGCUGGGAAAGAUGGAAGAGGAUUGCUUAUUUGGCUUAAAAGAAUCAUGGUCUGCCCCCUGAGGCUGUUCUGACCCAGAAAAAAGUUGAGGUUCUAUUACACGGAAGCAAGAUAUUAGGUAGGCAACUUUCAGUGUCUGCCAAAUCACCAGACACUAUUCAGGCUAAACAAGGAAGAAGCUAAAGCCAAAAA
rnacentral:lncRNA from 1 species